GAUGAACGCUGGCGGCGUGCCUAAUACAUGCAAGUCGAGCGAACAGACGAGGAGCUUGCUCCUUUGACGUUAGCGGCGGACGGGUGAGUAACACGUGGGUAACCUACCUAUAAGACUGGGAUAACUUCGGGAAACCGGAGCUAAUACCGGAUAAUAUUUCGAACCGCAUGGUUCGAUAGUGAAAGAUGGCUUUGCUAUCACUUAUAGAUGGACCUGCGCCGUAUUAGCUAGUUGGUAAGGUAACGGCUUACCAAGGCAACGAUACGUAGCCGACCUGAGAGGGUGAUCGGCCACACUGGAACUGAGACACGGUCCAGACUCCUACGGGAGGCAGCAGUAGGGAAUCUUCCGCAAUGGGCGAAAGCCUGACGGAGCAACGCCGCGUGAGUGAUGAAGGUCUUCGGAUCGUAAAACUCUGUUAUUAGGGAAGAACAAACGUGUAAGUAACUGUGCACGUCUUGACGGUGCCUAAUCAGAAAGCCACGGCUAACUACGUG
rnacentral:rRNA from 1 species